UACGUAGGUGGCAAGCGUUAUCCGGAUUUACUGGGUGUAAAGGGCGUGUAGGCGGGAGUGCAAGUCAGAUGUGAAAACCACGGGCUCAACCUGUGGCCUGCAUUUGAAACUGUACUUCUUGAGUACUGGAGAGGCAGACGGAAUUCCUAGUGUAGCGGUGAAAUGCGUAGAUAUUAGGAGGAACACCAGUGGCGAUGGCGGUCUGCUGGACAGCAACUGACGCUGAGGCUCGAAAGCGUGGGGAGCAAACAGG
rnacentral:rRNA from 1 species